rnacentral:tRNA from 1 species
CCCCCCGUAGCUCAGGGGAUAGAGCGGCGGUUUCCUAAACCGUGCGCGGAGGUUCGAUUCCUCCCGGGGGGACCA